UUCCUGAAAUGCAGGGGGAUCUCUUUGCCCCACAUGUUUAAAGCCUUUGACACUAAUCGAUCCACUGUAAUAUGCGGUGGCAAAAGAAUGGAACCCUAAGUAAGUGGGCUGUGAGUCUACAGAACUUUGAAAGUAUGUGUUAUUUUUCAUUAACUAAAACGAGGAAGUAUUACAUCGUUAUUGGCAGGAAGCACACAAUGUAUUUGUCUUUCAAAGGAUUUUUUUUUCUGUCUGCUGCAUAAAU
rnacentral:lncRNA from 1 species